rnacentral:rRNA from 2 species
AAAUUGAAGAGUUUGAUCAUGGCUCAGAUUGAACGCUGGCGGCAGGCCUAACACAUGCAAGUCGAACGGUAACAGGAAGCAGCUUGCUGCUUUGCUGACGAGUGGCGGACGGGUGAGUAAUGUCUGGGAAACUGCCUGAUGGAGGGGGAUAACUACUGGAAACGGUGGCUAAUACCGCAUAACGUCGCAAGACCAAAGAGGGGGACCUUCGGGCCUCUUGCCAUCAGAUGUGCCCAGAUGGGAUUAGCUUGUUGGUGAGGUAACGGCUCACCAAGGCGACGAUCCCUAGCUGGUCUGAGAGGAUGACCAGCCACACUGGAACUGAGACACGGUCCAGACUCCUACGGGAGGCAGCAGUGGGGAAUAUUGCACAAUGGGCGCAAGCCUGAUGCAGCCAUGCCGCGUGUAUGAAGAAGGCCUUCGGGUUGUAAAGUACUUUCAGCGGGGAGGAAGGUGUUGUGGUUAAUAACCGCAGCAAUUGACGUUACCCGCAGAAGAAGCACCGGCUAACUCCGUGCCAGCAGCCGCGGUAAUACGGAGGGUGCAAGCGUUAAUCGGAAUUACUGGGCGUAAAGCGCACGCAGGCGGUCUGUCAAGUCGGAUGUGAAAUCCCCGGGCUCAACCUGGGAACUGCAUUCGAAACUGGCAGGCUUGAGUCUUGUAGAGGGGGGUAGAAUUCCAGGUGUAGCGGUGAAAUGCGUAGAGAUCUGGAGGAAUACCGGUGGCGAAGGCGGCCCCCUGGACAAAGACUGACGCUCAGGUGCGAAAGCGUGGGGAGCAAACAGGAUUAGAUACCCUGGUAGUCCAUGCCGUAAACGAUGUCUACUUGGAGGUUGUGCCCUUGAGGCGUGGCUUCCGGAGCUAACGCGUUAAGUAGACCGCCUGGGGAGUACGGCCGCAAGGUUAAAACUCAAAUGAAUUGACGGGGGCCCGCACAAGCGGUGGAGCAUGUGGUUUAAUUCGAUGCAACGCGAAGAACCUUACCUGGUCUUGACAUCCACAGAACUUUCCAGAGAUGGAUUGGUGCCUUCGGGAACUGUGAGACAGGUGCUGCAUGGCUGUCGUCAGCUCGUGUUGUGAAAUGUUGGGUUAAGUCCCGCAACGAGCGCAACCCUUAUCCUUUGUUGCCAGCGGUCCGGCCGGGAACUCAAAGGAGACUGCCAGUGAUAAACUGGAGGAAGGUGGGGAUGACGUCAAGUCAUCAUGGCCCUUACGACCAGGGCUACACACGUGCUACAAUGGCGCAUACAAAGAGAAGCGACCUCGCGAGAGCAAGCGGACCUCAUAAAGUGCGUCGUAGUCCGGAUUGGAGUCUGCAACUCGACUCCAUGAAGUCGGAAUCGCUAGUAAUCGUGGAUCAGAAUGCCACGGUGAAUACGUUCCCGGGCCUUGUACACACCGCCCGUCACACCAUGGGAGUGGGUUGCAAAAGAAGUAGGUAGCUUAACCUUCGGGAGGGCGCUUACCACUUUGUGAUUCAUGACUGGGGUGAAGUCGUAACAAGGUAACCGUAGGGGAACCUGCGGUUGGAUCACCUCCUUACCUUAAAGAA